UGGGGAAUCUUGGACAAUGGGCGAAAGCCUGAUCCAGCCAUGCCGCGUGAGUGACGAAGGUCUUCGGAUUGUAAAGCUCUUUUGGCGGGGACGAUAAUGACGGUACCCGCAGAAUAAGCCCCGGCUAACUUCGUGCCAGCAGCCGCGGUAAUACGAAGGGGGCUAGCGUUGUUCGGAAUUACUGGGCGUAAAGCGCACGUAGGCGGAUUUGUAAGUCAGGGGUGAAAUCCCGGGGCUCGACCUCGGAACUGCCUUUGAUACUGUUAGUCUCGAGUCCGAUAGAGGUGAGUGGAAUUCCUAGUGUAGAGGUGAAAUUCGUAGAUAUUAGGAAGAACACCAGUGGCGAAGGCGGCUCACUGGAUCGGUACUGACGCUGAGGUGCGAAAGCGUGGGGAGCAAACAGGAUUAGAUACCCCCGUAGUCCCUGAGCGGGCUGGCAAGGCGCAU
rnacentral:rRNA from 1 species